rnacentral:lncRNA from 1 species
UGCAGUUAGGCGCCCACCUGUAGAACAAGGGAAUAUUUUCCAAAAUUUCAUGUUUUUGAUAACCAGGUGCUCGCCUGUAGAACAAGGGAAUUCAAGUCUUGGUAAUCAGACGUCCAGCUGUAGAAUAAGUGAAUAUCUUUCAAAUUCCAAGUUUUGAUAAUCAUGCACCCACCUGGAGAACAAGGGAAUAUUUCUCAAAAUUUCAUGUUUGGUAAUCAGGCACCCACCCGGAGAACAAGGGAAUAUUUCUCAAAAUUUCAGGUUUGGUAAUCAGGCACCCACCAUGAGAACAAGGGAGUAUUUUCAACAUUUCAGCUUUUGUAGUCAGGCACCCACCUGUAGAAUAAGGGAAUAUUUUUCAAAAGUCAAAUCUUGGCGGUCAGGCGCACACCUGCAGAACAAGGGAAUUUUUUUCAAAGAUGCAAGUCUUGGCGAUCAGGCGCCCACCUGUAGAACAAGGGAAUGUUUUCAAGAUUCAUGUUUUGUAAUCAGGCACCCACCUGCAAAACAAAGGAAUACAUAUCAAGUCCAAAAAUUCGGCAUCAAACAUGAAGGAAGAAAAAUGCAAGGAGUCAACAAGGCAACAAGGAAUCUGUAGGAAGAAAUACGAGGCAAAAAAGCAACAAGGAUCAAGAGCGAGAUUGAAGGCCUAGAUAGGCUUCUCUUUGUAAUCCGUAGCUAAUAGCUUAGUCUAGUUUCUUUUUAGUUUUCAUGAGGUUUAAUAAGAG